AUAAUGCACAAUGAUUAGCUUUGCAUAAAGUAUGUAAAUGGUGCAAUUACAAUGCACAGUAUAAAAGACAAUUUCCUGUGUUUUCCAUCAAAUCAUCAACAUUGGCCUUAGAGAAAUUACAGGAACAUUUAGAAAAGAUAAAUAUAUUCAUUUGUAGUGGGGCUUGUACAAAGGAAAACAUGUCAGGUGGAAAAUGAUUGCCCAUUUCUGAUGAUUUCAUUGAUCGACGUGCAAAGUGCUUUUGACUAUGGCAAAAGAAGCUUAGCUCAAAUGUGAAAUGCUUGACUGUUUCAUUUGGAACAUGCAUUUUAUUUUGCAGCCACAGCAAAAGAGAUGAAAUUCUGCCUGAACUAUUAUCCUCCAUUUACAGUUAAGUAAACUGAGGCCCUGGAAAAUGAGGCACUUUAGUUUUAAAAGCUGCUAAAGUCUAUUGCUACAUCAUGCAGACAAUGAACAAUGAGUGUUGGAGAAUGUCCUUUCCUGCCUCUUAAUCAUUCUGAAUCGAAACUAAUGAUAAACUUCAAUCAAUGACAUUGAGGGGAUGGGUAAGGGAUAAUAUAAAGAGUCCUCUAUGCAUGCUAAUUUGUUGUUACAUGUGACCUAAGAUGGUGGUUUCUUGCUUUAAAGACCUUACUAAUCAUUACAGAGUAUUCUUAUUCUCUGCUCAAUAAUUUGGAAAUGACUUAGGUCCUGUAACUCUCUGUGUCUCUAAUUUCUGAUCUCUGUAUUCAUCCAUGCUGUCUUUAGUACAAGUAUUUAUUUAUGUAGACUUCCCUUGUUCUGUUCUUUAUGUUACAUGGAGGAAAUUCUGAGAAACUUCAUCAGUAGCACUAUGAAACUCCUUCCAUACAGAACAGUCUAGAACAGGCAUUGUCAAACUGGGCUAAAUCUGUUCUGCCAUCUGCUUUUCUAAAGAAAAUGUUGUUGGAACACAACCACGUUCAUUCAUUUCUGUAUUGUCUGUGGCAGAGAUUGACCAUCACGAUAGAGACCAUAUGAGUUGAAAAGCCUAAAACAUUUAUUACCUGGCUCUGAACAGAAAAUACUUGCUGACUUCUGGUCUGGAACAGCACUGUGUAUAUACCUCAGGUUUAAUACUGGAAGUCUCCAUUAGUCCUUCUUCAGAGGUGACUAGAGUGCACAGUCAUAAUGACAGGGCCCCAAGGACUUCUCUAACUCACACUCCCUGUCCAGUCACCUUCACUGCAACAACCAUCUUACCAAGGGGUGCUGUCACUGCUCCUGUCCACUUUCUGGCCGUCAGAUGCCUCGAGAGUUCUUCUUGCCCUUGAUAAGGAAUAAACUUGUCAGUUGCAUGUGGCAGUUUUUCAACUGAUUUGGGAGAUGAUGCAGAUUUUGCUAUUUCUUAACUUUCAAUUGUUGUGUUUUCUGGUUCUCAGUAGGGAGACAUGAAGAAAAUUGCUGAUUCCCUUCAGUUAAAUAACAGUUUAGAUUAAACCAGCAAGAACUUUUGCUCUUUAAUAAAAUGCAAAGUUACCAUGCCUUUCUCCGGCUCGAUCAUUCAUGCAUCAUAAUGUGAAUGGAGUUGUAGGAGUAUGAUGUUUAUUCUCACAAUAGGUUUAAUUCUGAGUAAAAGCACUAAUUGAAAAAUCAGAAGAAUUUUGUCUUUAAGAGCUCAUGUUAAUGCAUGCAUUCAUCCAUCUGAAUUUUGAUGAUCUCGGUUUUUUUCUGUGUAAAUUCUUAUCAGAAUGGAGUGACUCUAAAUUGCGCCCUGCUUGUAACUUUCAUGUAUGAUUUGCUCCCUUGUUGUUUACCAGCCCUUUUAAAACUACAUAGUAGAAAGAAAAUAUUUUAAACAAUGUCACAUCCAGACGGUGAUUUCUCAAAGCUUCAAAUGCAGGCUUUAAUCCUUCUCCCAGGUUAGCCAGACUCAGGCUGCUGCACAGCACUGGGGCUUUUCAGACACAUUAAGGAUUCUGGACAGGCUUCACCCCAGACACCCUUGUGCUC
rnacentral:lncRNA from 1 species